rnacentral:rRNA from 1 species
GACGAACGCUGGCGGCGUGCCUAAUACAUGCAAGUAGAACGCACAGUUUAUACCGUAGCUUGCUACACCAUAGACUGUGAGUUGCGAACGGGUGAGUAACGCGUAGGUAACCUGCCUGGUAGCGGGGGAUAACUAUUGGAAACGAUAGCUAAUACCGCAUAAUAUUGAUUAUUGCAUGAUAAUUAAUUGAAAGGUGCAAUUGCACCACUACCAGAUGGACCUGCGUUGUAUUAGCUAGUAGGUGAGGUAACGGCUCACCUAGGCGACGAUACAUAGCCGACCUGAGAGGGUGAUCGGCCACACUGGGACUGAGACACGGCCCAGACUCCUACGGGAGGCAGCAGUAGGGAAUCUUCGGCAAUGGACGAAAGUCUGAACGAGCAACGCCGCGUGAGUGAAGAAGGUUUUCGGAUCGUAAAGAUCUGUUGUAAGAGAAGAACGGGUGUGAGAGUGGAAAGUGCACACUGUGACGGUAUCUUACCAGAAAGGGACGGCUAACUACGUG